rnacentral:rRNA from 1 species
UACGUAGGGGGCAAGCGUUGUCCGGAUUUAUUGGGCGUAAAGCGCGUGUAGGCGGCCAGGUAGGUCGGUUGUGAAAACUGGAGGCUCAACCUCCAGACGUCGACCGAAACCAUCUGGCUAGAGUCCGGAAGAGGAGAGUGGAAUUCCUGGUGUAGCGGUGAAAUGCGCAGAUAUCAGGAAGAACACCGAUGGCGAAGGCAGCCCCCUGGGCUAACACUGACGCUCAGGCACGAAAGCGUGGGGAGCAAACAGG